rnacentral:lncRNA from 1 species
GGGUAAAAGCAGGAGGUAAAGAAAUAGUCAAAUCAUCUACUGCCUGAGAGCACCGGGGAGAGACAAUGAUCGGAAAAUAAAUCCAGGCCUUUGUGCCAGCAGGGGCAACCCCCUCUGGGUCCCCUCCCAUUGUAUGUGAGCUCUGUUUUCAUUCUAUUAAAUCUUGCAACUGCACAUUCUUCUGGUCCGUGUUUCUGCCGGCUCAAACUGAGCUUUCGCUCUCCAUCCACCAUGGCUGAACGCCACAGUCGCAGACCUGCCGUUGACUUUCAUCCCUCUGGAUUUGGCAGGGUGUCCACUGAGCUUCUGAUUCAGCGAGGUGCUCAUUGCUGCUCCCAAUCAGGCUAGAGGCUCGCCAUUGUUCCUGCACCGGGAAGUGCCCGGGUUCAUCCUAAUUAGGCUGAACACUAGUCUCUGGGUUCCAUGGUUCUCUUCCGUGACCCACAGCUUCUAAUAGAGCUAUAACACUUACCGCAUGGCCCAAGGUUCCAUUCCUUGGAAUCCCUGAGGCCAAGAACCCCACGUCAGAGAACAAAAGGCUUGCUGCCAUCUUGGGAGCAGCCGGCCCCAUCUUGGGAGUGGCCCACCACCAUCUUGGGAGCUCUAAGAACAAAGACCUGCUGGUAACACUAUCUCUGGCCACCUAUCUCUGGCCUAUCUAUCUCUGGUUCCUAUCUCUGGCCAUGGCUUGAGCCAUUUGGGUGCAGUGAACAGGAAACUGUAAAGAGUGACAGCCCUGCUUCUACAAAAUGGAUGCCAAGGUUACACCUCCUCCCUCCUUAAAUAGCACUUAGUGUAAUUGAUGCCAAGUUAAUCCCUGUGCUGCCAAGAGAAGUGUCCAUGGGGUAGGAACCGCAUGCUGUUUUACCUGUGCUUAAAGAGGAAAGUGUCACGCGUCUCUGAAGAAACAAUGUUGACUGAAAAAUAGCGCCAAGUCUCAAACAAGAUCUUUGUGAAAAAUAAAGCAUGAAGCACAAAAUGAGAGAGUAAGUCUUAUUAUCUAAGAAUUAAAAUGAUGAUUAAGGUGAUUAUCUUUUUCUUCUUUAUUUUUAAAUAGUUUGCAAAAUUAUAACAAUAGGUAUGCAUUAUUUUAUAAUUAUUGACAACAUGGUGUUUUGUAAAACAAAGUGUAUUAUAUGAAGAAUAUUCUCAAUUUUAUUUGGAGCUAUAAAAAACUAUAAGACUAUGCAGAAGCACAAUAAAAUGCUAACAGUGAGUAUCUCUGAAUAGUGGGAUUAUUGCUAAAUUUUAUCCCACUCUCCUUUGCUUUUUAUUAUUGUCUAAAUUUCGUGCAGUGAGUAUAUGCUACCUUUGUAAUUUAAAAAUAAAGUUGGUUAAUUUUCU